AAUCCCAACUCUGGACAGCUGAGAAUCUGGUUCAAUGACUCAGUAUACAGGCCUGAUCCUGGAAACUCUCACUACUACAGACAUUCCCAUUCAAAUUAAUCAGACUACCUGUUGUGGAAUGAAAACAAAAUUCUAAACCUGGAAGUUGCUGUGAAAUGGAAUUGUUGCUCUCUGGACAGCUUGUAAGUGAUGUUCUACACCAGAAAGGCAGGCAGGCUACUGGAGAGUCAUGCUGACACGCUGCUCCAUUGAGGGCCCAUGGCAUGUAGCUGCAGAGAAGUUAACAAGAAUCAUAGAAAUGUAGGGCUGGAAGGGACCUUGAGAAGUCAUCAAGUCUAGCCUCCUGUGCUGUGGCAGAACCAAAAUAAACCUAGACCA